GGUCAUUUCUUCUCAUCAGCCAAAGAAACUCACAAGCAAUCAAGUUGCAUUGCCACCUUUCCUUGCUUGCCCCCAUUGCACUAUUCUUUUCCCAUCUCCUUCAAACCUUCCAAUGGCCACUGUUGAGGUUGAAUCAUCUCCGGCAACAAUCGUAGAGAAUGUCACGCCGGAAGUUGAGGUGAAGCCAGCGCCGGAGGAACCAACGGCGGCGGCGGCGGAGCCUGAGGCGGUUGUGCAAGAAGCAGAGCCGGAAGUUACAAAGCCCGAGGAGGAGAAGCCAGCAGCCGAAGAAGAAGCCGAGGCGCCGGCUGCCGAAGUCGCCGUCGAGACUAAGGAAGCGGAACCCGAAGCGCCGGCGCUGGAGCCGGCUGAAGAGAAGGCGGAGGAGCCGGCUGCAGCCGCCGUACUUGAAGAAGCGGCUGAGGUAAAAGAGCCAGUAGCCGCCGAGGAGGAAACUCCGGCGGCUGAAACCAAGACCGAGGAAGCUGCAGCUCCGGCUCCACCGGCUGAAGCCGUCACAGAGGAGACCGUAGCCGCCGAGGCUGCGGCGGAGGAACCCGCCGCCGCCGCCGCCGCUGAAGUUACAGAUGAGAAAGCUGCAGAGUAAAUUGAUGGUGGAUGGUUGUGCUGAGGUCUUUUUAGACUUUGCAUGUCUUAGAGUUAAGGUUGGGUUAAGUUCUAUUUAUAUUUGCUGCUAUUAUGCUUUAUUUUUAUUAUUAUCAUCUUUAUAUUAUUAUAAUUAUGUUAUGAAUUAUAGUGGAGGAGAAUUUGUAAUGUCUGUCAUCACUUGGGUCACUAUCAGAUGAGGUUUGCUGUGGUUUGAUGAGAUGAGAUGUGGUAUGGUCCCUUUGGAGCUUUGGCAAAUAAUAAAUUUUAUUAGUUUAUGUUUCCUUA